rnacentral:rRNA from 1 species
AACGAACGCUGGCGGCAUGCCUAACACAUGCAAGUCGAACGAGACCUUCGGGUCUAGUGGCGCACGGGUGCGUAACGCGUGGGAACCUGCCCUUAGGUUCGGAAUAACUCCCCGAAAGGGGUGCUAAUACCGGAUAAUGUCUUCGGACCAAAGAUUUAUCGCCUUUGGAUGGGCCCGAGUUGGAUUAGCUAGUUGGUAGGGUAAAAGCCUACCAAGGCGACGAUCCAUAGCUGGUCUGAGAGGAUGAUAAGCCACACUGGGACUGAGACACGGCCCAGACUCCUACGGGAGGCAGCAGUGGGGAAUAUUGGACAAUGGGCGAAAGCCUGAUCCAGCAAUGCCGCGUGAGUGAUGAAGGCCUUAGGGUUGUAAAGCUCUUUUACCCGGGAUGAUAAUGACAGUACCGGGAGAAUAAGCUCCGGCUAACUCCGUG